UUGUUAACUUACCUUAGAAUUUCUUAUCUUCCUUUCUCUUUUAUCCACUUUUUCUGCUGUAUCAUUAUCGUUUAGACCCAAUUUACCGGUUCCAAUGUAAUUGUAAACUUGGAUAAAUGUUGGAUAAACUUUAUUAGUAACAAACUGUUACUCGCAAGUUGAAACCAAAAAAUCAACAAAGCAAGUAACUUGAACUAUUACGCGCCAUAAUAUCUCAUGUUACUUUCCCCUUUAUUUCCCUCUUUUUGCCUUUUUAUCUUCAACCGUUUUUUUCUGGUUUUUUUCAAAUCCAAGUUACAGUGAAAAUUACUAAUCUGUUUAUUUUUACUCUUUGUUUUAAUCUCGCAAGUCUAGUCUAUUGUCACGUUAUGGAUGCUUUAAUGUCUUCUUCUUUUCUUAAACCCAGUUUCUUUGACUCUGUUUGCAUAUCUUUUUUACCACUUUAACCUACUUGACACUUUCGACUACCUGGCAUAGUUGAAUAGUUAAAGUUAAUCUUUGUUGGCUUCUUCCAGAGUAAAUUCAAAUAACAAGCAGUAAAAGGCUCGUCAUAAUCAUCAUCGGUUAUUUCUCCGAUUUCAUCAAUUUCCUCUUGUUUGCUAUUUGAUUUGUUUAUGUUACAUGAUGAAAGAAUUUAAAAUGGCUAUUGAAAUUUAUCAAGACAAGGUUCAAAUUAUCAACAUUCAACUGCUAUUACAUACCCGUAAACAAGUCUAACCUCAUUGAAGCCAUAUUGAAGAUGAACAAUCAAACGAUAAUCAUCAUUCUCAUCAUGGUAAAUAAAUAGGAAAAAAUGCUGAUGUUAUAUGUGCAAAUGACCCAGAAAGCAAUAGGAAGAAGAUAAAAGAUGAUAAUAUUAAUGAUUAUUACAAUGAUCCAUUGAUUUGAUUAUGGUUGUCUCACUCAAUUUUGCUGAUCAAUCUUUUUCUUCCUACAACUUAUAACUUCUAGGAGUCCCAAUCACCUGUUUGUCAAUUAAAUUGAUAAAGCAAUAA